AAUUUUCAUCGAAAAAACGUGUUUUUCUACAAAUGUUAUCUAAUUAUAAUCAAUAAUUAUUGCUCAAUCAUUAUAUUCAUUAUUAAUUAAUAAGAACUACAUGUGCAUGGAUUACCUGUUGGAUUGAUGUUUGUUUAAGAAGAAAUUUCUCUAAAGUAAGACUCGAGAAAGGUUAUUGCAGCUUGCAGCAACAUCAUGUUUUAUCAAGUAUUGAACCACACAAAGGAUUAAAUCUUCAUUACAAUAUCAUUCAUAACUCCAUUUAAAUCAAUGGAAACUAUAUAUGGAUCGUUUCAUGGAGUAACAACAUACUUUGGAGUUUGGACCCAAAAUACAAUACACGUUAAUAUCGAACUUCGAACUUAUAAGGUGUUAAGCUGCAAUUACAAUAAAAGUGCUUGCUAUGGAAUCACCGGUGCUGAAAGAAAGAAAGAAAAAAUAUUUAUUUGGUUAUGCCGUGACAUAAAUGCAUUAAAUUAGAAAGAUUUGUAUUGGAUGAAUUACCCAGAUAACAAUUAAAACAACUUCUGUUGAUAAGAACAUUUGAUUGGUGGAAUCCAGAUUCUGUGAAUGUACAUGUAAUUGAUUGAAAAGUGCACAUUUGACAAGGUGGUGAGAAACGUGUAGGUCUGGCCUGCUUACAGUGGCUAUUGGAUUGGACAGAACCAAAGUGAGAGUGAACGUGUGAAUUUAUGGAGAACAUUAAACUAUUUUACUAUAAGUCAUAACGCAACUUAUUUUGUAUGAGUUACAUACAAAUGUCAAGCCGUGAGUACCUACAUUAUGUAAAAACUAAAACAAUGUACUGUAAUCACAAUAGUAACUGUAAUCUUUUAAAAUAAAAUAGUUUUAAUGCUUAUUGAUUUUCGUAAACAAAAUAUUUCAUGUUAUAUUUCAUCAAUAAAGUUUCAUUUGAUA